ACCCUGCUCGGCUUACUAUUUUUGUUAACAAUAGGUCAAGAGGUCUGUAUGCUAAUUUGCGUGCUGAUAACAAGCUUUGAUGUUGCAAAUCAACUGUCAGAUCAAAGCCCGGCCUUGCAGACCCACGAGGGUUUGGCAGCCACAAUCUCCAACCUCCCUGUUUUCAGAGACCAAUUAACACCUGCCUCCAUUUAAUUGCCUGAUGCCCUACACACUGCAAAAAUGCUUAGCAGGUGAUUAGCGAUGCAAAAUAGGUGCUGGCGAGACCAGUCAGCCAAAGCCUGCAUGUUUAAAAACUCCUGUAAAGUUGAGCCAAUCAUUUGGGCGGCUGUUCCCCAGGCAGAGCUCUCGGCAUGCUAAAAAGAGGUCAAGAUGAAACCUGCCGAGAGGAUUCUGAGACUCACAAGUGAGCGUUUGGUAAAUUAAGAUGCAAAGGAACAUGCACAACGUGCGUUUUUGGACUAUUGAUUAACAUCCUUUUAAAACAGUAGGUGUCAGCUUCCCUGGGGAAAUCAGCGGCUUUCAGAGUCACCCUGCCUGGUGUCCCGUCCUCACAGCUGGCUGUGACAAGACCUCGUACCCAACCAUGAGGCAACCAAGAGACUUGGGAAGAGACAGCUGACUUCCAAUGCAGUACACCAACUAAAAAAAUGGAGCACCAUCCACCCGGAGCUGAUCCGAGUCAUCAGUCAAUCUGUAGAUGUGCACUGAGCUCUGAACCCAUCAGACUCCAACUGCUGCAUCCUAAAUUACUCCCAACAGCUGUUUGCGAUCAAGCCACUUUGCACCAUUGAUGACUCUUUCCCUGAGGAAUAAAACUUAAUGGGUGAAGAAUUUGAGAAUUUGAAGUCUCAAAUUGAGCGAGUACAAGCAUCUGUGAUUGAAGGUGAUCAAACUGACUGUACAAAGCCAAAGGUUUUGAUGGAUGCACAUGCUAUAUUGAACUGUAAUAAAUGAAACCCCAUAUUGAACAUGGAGGAAUACAAAACAAUUUAUCACCGACAUGCCGUUUGUGUUUUUAAUUUUAGC
ensembl:lncRNA